UGAUUGGGCGUAUUUAUACGCAUUUAUUUGGGGGAUUUUAGAAUGUUUUCAAUGCUUAAUUCGUGUUAAAAAUAAUCUUUUGGAUAUGGAUUAUGGUCUUAUGUGAAUUUUGAUGGUAUUUAAUAGGUUUUGAAGAAAAGACAUGAUUUUGAGAAGAAUUUUGAAGCUUGAAGUGGUAGAGAAUGAAGGCUGUGCGGACAAGGAUUAAUGGGCUGGAUCUUUGAUUAUUAUUAACUGAUCAUAUUUAAAUUGUUUUGGGAUUGGGAAUAGUUCCAAAUUUGGACCUUUGCACCACUUUUCCCUAUUAGCUUUUACGUCAUUAGACUAGUUGCCUAGUUGCCUAAUUAGACUUGUUUUAGUUGCCUUAUUAGACUAAGGUUUUGAUUAUUAGAUAGUAUAUAUAAUGGUAUUCAGCACACUUUAAACAGAAUACAAUAUAUCACAUAGCUUCUGCAACUUUGGAGAGCAGAAUUCUGGACGCAAGUUUUGGAGCAAUUCAAGUUUUAUUUCUUUCAUCUUUUUCUUGUCUAAUUUAUUUAUUUAUUUCUUUUGUUAUUUAAUUAUUGUUUUCUAGCUAAAUUCGUUUAUUCCGGCAUUGAUUAGGGAAGCACUAGCGAAAUUAUUCUGUGAGAUCUAAUUGUUCUUAUACUUUAUUUUAUGCUUGCAUCUGCGAUUCUCCAUGUUUAAUGAUAUUAAUUGUUUUAAUCCAUUAGAUAGUUGCAAAUAUUUAUUGGGUUAGAAUUAAUUAUAUAGCCAAUUGAACCGGCCAUCCGUAAUUGUGGUUUAGGUUUGAUUAGUGGUAAAUUGACACAUCAGGGUCAAGGGAAAAGCAGUCUUAAUUCAAUAAUCCUGCGUCAGAGUUUAUUGGUUUUGAAUCGGGUUUCUCUAGAUAUUAAUGCUGUCGGCUAAUUAAAUCUAUAGAGCGUCUCUUACGGUUGUCAGUCGAUUAGGGUAGUAAUUAAUGAAGCGUCUUCCUGGUUACCGAAUAAUUAAGGAGAAAUAAGAUCACGUCAGAAGCGUCUUCGGUGGUUAUAACUGGUUUGUUGCAUAAUUUAAGUUAUUUUUGCUAUCGAUGAUCGGAAUAAUUGAGCUAGGGUGGACUUAAUUGAUUGCUGGAAUUCUUUUAUUAAUUGUUGGAAUUUUUAUUCAUCUUUUAGUUAAUUGGAAAAAUUGGUUUAUUCGGAUUUUAUUUAUUUAAUUUUAAGUUUAGUAUUUUCUAUAUUUUCUUCUCAAAAAUUUCGUGGUUACUUUGCAGACUUUAAUUGGAGAAAUUCUCGCCAGUCCCUUGGGAGACGAUUUUGCUUACUGCUGUCUGCGC
rnacentral:lncRNA from 1 species